rnacentral:rRNA from 1 species
GACGAACGCUGGCGGCGUGCUUAACACAUGCAAGUCGAACGGAAAGGCCCUGCUUUUGUGGGGUGCUCGAGUGGCGAACGGGUGAGUAACACGUGAGUAACCUGCCCUUGACUUUGGGAUAACUUCAGGGAACUGGGGCUAAUACCGGAUAGGAGCUCCUGCCGCAUGGUGGGGGUUGGAAAGUUUCGGCGGUUGGGGAUGGACUCGCGGCUUAUCAGCUUGUUGGUGGGGUAGUGGCUUACCAAGGCUUUGACGGGUAGCCGGCCUGAGAGGGUGACCGGCCACAUUGGGACUGAGAUACGGCCCAGACUCCUACGGGAGGCAGCAGUGGGGAAUAUUGCACAAUGGGCGGAAGCCUGAUGCAGCAACGCCGCGUGCGGGAUGACGGCCUUCGGGUUGUAAACCGCUUUCGCCUGUGACGAAGCGUGAGUGACGGUAAUGGGUAAAGAAGCACCGGCUAACUACGUGCCAGCAGCCGCGGUGAUACGUAGGGUGCGAGCGUUGUCCGGAUUUAUUGGGCGUAAAGGGCUCGUAGGUGGUUGAUCGCGUCGGAAGUGUAAUCUUGGGGCUUAACCCUGAGCGUGCUUUCGAUACGGGUUGACUUGAGGAAGGUAGGGGAGAAUGGAAUUCCUGGUGGAGCGGUGGAAUGCGCAGAUAUCAGGAGGAACACCAGUGGCGAAGGCGGUUCUCUGGGCCUUUCCUGACGCUGAGGAGCGAAAGCGUGGGGAGCGAACAGGCUUAGAUACCCUGGUAGUCCACGCUGUAAACGGUGGGUACUAGGUGUGGGGUCCAUUCCACGGGUUCCGUGCCGUAGCUAACGCUUUAAGUACCCCGCCUGGGGAGUACGGCCGCAAGGCUAAAACUCAAAGGAAUUGACGGGGCCCCGCACAAGCGGCGGAGCAUGCGGAUUAAUUCGAUGCAACGCGUAGAACCUUACCUGGGUUUGACAUGGAUCGGGAGUGCUCAGAGAUGGGUGUGCCUCUUUUGGGGUCGGUUCACAGGUGGUGCAUGGCUGUCGUCAGCUCGUGUCGUGAGAUGUUGGGUUAAGUCCCGCAACGAGCGCAACCCUUGUUCACUGUUGCCAGCACGUUAUGGUGGGGACUCAGUGGAGACCGCCGGGGUCAACUCGGAGGAAGGUGGGGAUGACGUCAAGUCAUCAUGCCCCUUAUGUCCAGGGCUUCACGCAUGCUACAAUGGCUGGUACAGAGAGUGGCGAGCCUGUGAGGGUGAGCGAAUCUCGGAAAGCCGGUCUCAGUUCGGAUUGGGGUCUGCAACUCGACCUCAUGAAGUCGGAGUCGCUAGUAAUCGCAGAUCAGCAACGCUGCGGUGAAUACGUUCCCGGG